AUCACACCUUGCGGUGAUAGGAACUUUGUCAAGGUGGAUGCGACGGAGUCACGCCAUAUCACUAGCAUACAGGGCCUCCUUAUUAAGAAGCACUACCCCGGCUUGGUCGAGCACAAGGGGAAAGUGGAGCCACCCUUUUCCUGGCCGCACUUCUCUAGCGUCGUGGCAAACGACACCACUCUUGCGCAGGUCAUCAAGGCCGAGUUCUGGGAGUGGUUCGUGUGCGAGGAGGGGAAAGAGGCCGAGGCAGCGAAAAUCCAG